rnacentral:rRNA from 1 species
GUUGUAUGGUUAAGCGACUAAGCGUACACGGUGGAUGCCUUGGCAGUCAGAGGCGAUGAAGGACGUACUAACUUGCGAUAAGCGGUGAUAAGGCAGUAAGAGCCAUUUGAGUCACCGAUUUCCGAAUGGGGAAACCCGGCCGCAUAAGCGGUCACUGUGCACUGAAUACAUAGGUGUACAGAGCGAACCAGGGGAACUGAAACAUCUAAGUACCCUGAGGAAAAGAAAUCAAUUGAGAUUCCCUAAGUAGCGGCGAGCGAACGGGGAUUAGCCCUUAAGCACAGAGGGUGUUAGUGGAAGCUUCUGGAAAGUAGCGCGAUACAGGGUGAUAGCCCCGUACACGAAAACUAACUUUGUGUGAAAUCGAGUAGGACGGGACACGUGAUAUCUUGUCUGAACAUGGGGGGACCAUCCUCCAAGGCUAAAUACUCCUGACUGACCGAUAGU